UGAUAUGACGUAUCUCAUUGGUAACUCUUGCAUACCUGAAGAUUUUCCGAUUGCAUGAUUCACCUCAGGACACAGAGAGGAAUAAGACCUGGGACUGCACCUCUGAUGUGAUGAGCUGCAGCACGACCUGGAAGGUCGAUCCAUUGCCCACCAAAAAUCACCUUCUGCUCACUAGGACAUCAAACCUCACAGCAUCCUCAUAUGAUGAGAACCUACUGCUGGAUCCCCACCUGGGACCAAGUUUUUGCUGAUUGAGAAGCUCAUGAGAUACAUCUAAUGUCCCUGGAGGUCCUCAGGGAAGCAGUGGUCAGACAAUCCUUUCCUAGCCUGCUUUGGGCAACGCUGGUGGUACUGCUGGCACUGCAUGUGGGCUGCUGUGCUGGUACUGAGCUCCUUGGGCAGAGCGUGAUUCAGCCUUCAGUAUUACAGCAGUCAUCAUUGCAAAGGAGGGGUCUGGGACCAAACAGUGAUGGUCACAGAUACUGAACCAACUGGAUAAAGCACCAUCUAAUACAUUUCCGUGAAGAGUUUCAAAGUUGGUGUUUCCCAGUGGAAAAAAUAUAGGAG